UAUCUCGGGUCUUCAGGGUCCUCUCUCGGCCCCACCUUGUAGGCGUGACAGUUACCAAAGCCUCAAUGGGGGUUGUAACUUCCAGAUCAAAGCUGGAAUGGCUACCCACUACAUUCAGGCUUUGUUCAUAAGAUGAACUCACCACAGGGAACGCCUUCCACAGUGCUGGAACAGAGUGCUCAGCACAGUUUGGGAAACCAUGGCUGUUCCUCAUGCUGCACUCAGGCACAGAGGAAUAAGCUGGACAGAGGUGUGGUCAAGCCUCUGUUACCUCACAUAAUAGCUCAUUGCCAAGGUAAAGGCUGUGGUGUUGUGAGGGAAGUCAGUGUCUACUGGGGUGGGCCAGGAUUCAGAAAGAGUUGCUUGCAGGUAUGCAGUGAGGUUUGGGCUAUGUGGUGGGAAAAAUACAUACAGGAUUCCAGGGAUGAAGCCCUAAUUAACAGUGUGUUAUACUGAAAAGUGGGAGGGUGUAAUGUGAGGCACAAUGUGGUCCUUGAGGUGACCUCUAACAGGACCUGUGCUAUAGAAGUAAAAAAAAGUUGCAGUAUCAGUGGAAUGUGUGCCAAGGAAUUGUCAAAAUAAGGACUCAGGGAGAUGACACCCACAACUCAUCGGACGAUGAGGCCCAGGGAUGGCCACCCCCAGCCUGUGCUGCAGACUGGUACAGGAUGAAGUUCUGAUGUUGUGCUGUUCUCCAGUGAGUGACGCUCUCAGAGGUCAUCGACUACCAUUGCACGUCCAGAAAUGAUGACCAUAUAUAAACACUAACGUAAAUGUGUGUUUUGACCUCCAAGAACUCAGAAUGAUCCACUAGACAAGCUGUAAAGAAACUGGUAUGUUAAACCCUGAUGAUCAGACCCUCAAUGCUAAGAUACAUAGGCAUGUCCCAGCGGCUCAAAUGGAAGAAGCCUUGGGCAUUUAAAAAAAGAGUGUGAGUAGGCCUGAGCCUGACCCCGACAGGCCCAGGAGAAUGCAAAAAGGAAUGUGGUGCUGAGACGCCUCUUAACCAUGAAGUAUAAAGCUGUAUUUGGUCCAGGGCCAAAAAGAGAGAUGUAGGACUGGGACUACCCCUGCACCCUGUAGAGGCCUGGGCCCAACCAAGAAGAGAUAUAGGCCUGGGCCUAUCCCUGACCCUGAAGAGGCCUGGGCCCAACAAGAAGAGAUGUGGGCCUGGGCCUAUCCCUGAACCUGAAGAGGCGUGGGCCACAACAAGAAGAGAUAUGGGCCUGGGCCUACACCAGACCCUGAAGAGGCCUGGGCCC